AAAAAACAAGGAAUUGUUUUUCUUUUAAAAUGAUGACGUCAUCUUGCUGGUGAUGGAUGCUCGAAUAGGUCGCGCAUGAGACUCCAUUAUCAGCAACAUCUGGUAUGAAUGUGUGUGAACGAAUGCAUGUGACUGGACUGUGAUGGACGGACUAAAAGUUUUGACUGACUUGAUACUGAGACAAUGACUGCACCAACUUUAGGAUUAGUAAAUGCCAACAAACAAUUCACCUAGCCGGCAAGAGAAGGGUGGAUGCUUCGCUUUGUUUUGUUUUUGCAGGAGCAGGGGGAUGAGAGAGACUGAGGAGGAGACGGUAGCUUCACAUGAGAGUGUGGAACUGCAGAUUUAACCCGUUGGUUGCUAAUUUUGAGUUCUGAGAUAUGAUGUCACUAACCUUCUCUUUUAAUUUUCUGGCUCCGAUGAAUUGACACAUGGGAGUGUGUCAAAAAGGGGGAAGUUGAGUCUGAACAUCAAACAAUGGUUUUAUGAACAUUUUAUGACUCAAACAAUGGUUUUAUGAACAUUUUAUGACUUUAUUUGUGUGUUUAAUAAUUUAGGUAUGGUAAAACUUAAGCUUAUAGUGUGUUAGACUUAGAAGUGGUUCAUUAAUUUUUGAUUUCUUUUACACACACAUAGAUUAUGAUUAGAAUGAGUUCCUUGGUCAGAGAGUCCUGAGCAUGAUAUUUUAAACCAAAUUUGAAUAAUUAGAAGAACAAUGGAUAACAAUAUUAGAUUAUCAAGGCUAGGGAGAGAGGUGUUUUGGUUUUCUGUCUCUUACAGAGAAAGGAACAGACACCAGAUGAGGACACGGAGGUAUGAGGACCCUUCACAGCAGAGACAGAUGUAGGGACUCCCGAGACAGCAACUGGGGUCAUGUGUCAUGGCGUUUGGGCUCCUUGAGAAGAUGGAUCCCAUAAACACAGCAAUAACCAUGAAGGGGUUGGCGAAAAUCUAGGAACACCAGACCAACGAGGGUGGUCUAACCCCGGAGGUCGAAGAAAGAAGCUGAGAAUCACCCAACUGGAAGAUACUGGUAGCUGCAGCAAUAAAAAUAAAGGUUAAAAGCUCCUUAGACAGAGGUUCUAGUCUGAGUACAUUUGAAAGGUAUAAGGUGGCACCAAAA
ensembl:lncRNA